UCUAGAUGAUGGGCUUAGAU
rnacentral:siRNA from 1 species